GGAUGCUACGAGCGUCCCCUUUGACACGGGUUGGUGGGUUGCGCCACCAAGCUCUUGUUUUAUUGCCCAACGUC
rnacentral:lncRNA from 1 species